GGGGACUGAUACUACCAUUAAGGUGUUUGGUAAAUUGGGACGAGAAACUGGCCUGAAAGAAUAUAAUGCGCUGAUAAGACUCUGUAUAGAGAAGGCCAGAGAAAGUAAUGAUGAAGAGGUGUCGUUGAAGCAGCUUUCAAAGGCAUAUCAACUACUAAAAUCAAUGAAGGAACAGGGUUUUCAAUUAAAAGAGGAGAGCUAUGGUUCAAUUCUUAUGUAUUUUAUUGAUUUUGGCAUGGUACAAGAUU
rnacentral:misc_RNA from 1 species